CUACGGGCCGCUCCAGUGGGGAAUAUUGGACAAUGGGGGAAACCCUGAUCCAGCAAUGCCGCGUGUGUGAAGAAGGCCUGCGGGUUGUAAAGCACUUUCGGUUGGGAGGACUGCUUCUAGCACUAAUAUUGUUGGAAGUUGACGUUACCUUCAGAAGAAGCACCGGCUAACUCCGUGCCAGCAGCCGCGGUAAUACGGAGGUGGCAAGCGUUAAUCGGAAUUACUGGGCGUAAAGCGCGCGUAGGCGGCUAGAUCAGUCGGGUGUGAAAGCCCCGGGCUUAACCUGGGAACUGCAUCCGAUACUGUCUAGCUUGAGUACAGGAGAGGAGAGUGGAAUUCCACAUGUAGCGGUGAAAUGCGUAGAUAUGUGGAGGAACACCAAUGGCGAAGGCAGCUCUCUGGCCUGAUACUGACGCUGAGGUGCGAAAGCGUGGGGAGCAAACAGGAUUAGAUACCCCAGUAGUC
rnacentral:rRNA from 1 species